rnacentral:tRNA from 1 species
GCUGUGAUGGCCGAGUGGUUAAGGCGCUGGACUUGAAACCAAUGGGGUUUCCCCACAAGAGGUUCGAACUCCUGCUCAAGAA